rnacentral:tRNA from 1 species
ACUCAGGUGGCUCAGUGGUAGAGUGCUUGCCUUGCAUGCAUGAGGCCCUGGGUU